UGGGGAAUAUUGGACAAUGGGCGCAAGCCUGAUCCAGCCAUGCCGCGUGUGUGAAGAAGGCCUUCGGGUUGUAAAGCACUUUUGUCCGGAAAGAAAUCCUUCAACUUAAUACGUUGGGGGGAUGACGGUACCGGAAGAAUAAGCACCGGCUAACUUCGUGCCAGCAGCCGCGGUAAUACGAAGGGUGCAAGCGUUACUCGGAAUUACUGGGCGUAAAGCGUGCGUAGGCGGUUUGUUAAGUCUGAUGUGAAAUCCCCGGGCUCAACCUGGGACCUGCAUUGGAUACUGGCGAGCUAGAGUACGGUAGAGGGUGGUGGAAUUCCCGGUGUAGCAGUGAAAUGCGUAGAGAUCGGGAGGAACACUCGUGGCGAAGGCGGCCACCUGGACCAGUACUGACGCUGAGGCACGAAAGCGUGGGGAGCAAACA
rnacentral:rRNA from 1 species